AGUAACGCGUAUCCAACCUCCCCUUAGUAGGGCAUAGCCCGUAGAAAUGCGGAUUAAUACCCUAUGUUAUUCGUCGAGGACAUCUGAAGUGAAUCAAAGGUUUACCGCUAAGGGAUGGGGAUGCGUCUGAUUAGGCAGCAGGCGGGGUAACGGCCCACCUGGCCGACGAUCAGUAGGGUUCUGAGAGGAAGGUCCCCCCACAUUGGAACUGAGACACGGUCCAAACUCCUACGGGGAGGCAGCAGUGAGGAAUAUUGGUCAAUGGUCGAGAGACUGAACCAGCCAAGUAGCGUGCAGGAUGACCGGCCCUAGUGGGUUGUAAACUGUCUUUUAUGGCGGGGAAUAAAGUGACGUACGUGUACGUUUUUGUAGGUACCGCAUGAAUAAGGACCGGCUAAUUCCGUGCCAGCCGCUGC
rnacentral:rRNA from 1 species